AGAAAUAGCUGAUUUUGUGUACUGUGCUCCUCUCAAGCCAGGAUAGCAGGCAGUGGUCAUCCUGAAAGAAAAAAGGUCCAGAGCUGGAAUUGUGGUUUUCACCAUCUUCCUAUUUCAAAUUCCCAUUUUCUGACACCGGUCUACAUGGGGCAGGACUGCUAAAGAUCUUUCUGGCCAAAUAACUUGUUUACAGAAGUUUCCCACACGCAAAUGCAUCUGGAUUUCCUCUGAACUGUCAUCAUCCUGCAGGGAUAUUCACUCUACCACCUCAUGGAAUUUUCUUUUCUCCUGACUGUAAGUUAAAUGGUCCUAAAUGUUGCCAGCAUUCAUGUCAGCCUCGUAUUUUGAAAACUUCAUAUCCCAUUGGGAACUCUGCAACCUCACCUUGACUUUAGAGGAUGAAAUCAAACCUUAGAUGUGAGCUGGUUCAGACCCGUCUGGGUGGCAGCUUUGCAUCUCAGGACGUUCUGAAAUGACAAAACACUGCUGAAUUGCUGAAAAAAAUGUGUUUGUUUAAUGUGGUUUAUAGGGAUUUACAACUUAGGUCAUGUCAGUAUGAGAAGGGCUGAAACCAUGUAUUCCUGAUCCAUUUCAAUUCAAAGCAAAAGGCAUUUAUUUAAGCAAAUCGCUACUGAUUUUCUCUGUACAAGAAAUACAUACGCAGUUAGGGAUCACUGCUUUGGAGAAGCAGAUGUAAUUUUCUUAAUUUCUCUUUUACUGCUGUUCAUGUGAUGGUAUAACCAAACCAAGAUUUGGUUCAGAUUAAUAUAGUAAUGUACUGAUACAAGCAUAACCAGCUUUAGCAUUGUUUAUGCCUUCUAAACACAUGUUCAUGAGGGGUUUAUAUUUCUAACCAGCCAAGCAUCUUAAAUGUAGGUAGAUUAGUGCAGAUUUUACAGUCCAGGCAAACUAUCCUGGUGCCAUACAAAUCAAGGCAAUUCUGCUCACCUUCACAGGCACUGUUGUGCAGUCACAAAGCAGUCACUAUCACAAUACUAAGGAAGCGUGUCCAUAGUCUAAAGGAUAUGGAUCUCUAAAAUGCAUUCCAUUUAGCUAUAUACCUGUAUUCACAGGUAUAUUUUUUACUUCUUCACCAAGUACUGUUCUCUUGUGAUCACACUGACAAACC